AAAGAUGCAGAAGAUCGUAAAACCCUGCUUAUGGUCUCUGCGGCUUGAUGCAGAGGGAACCAAGAGGGGAAGAUUAUUUCAUGUAUAUACAAACAAAAACAGCUUAUAAAAGCACUGUUCACUACUGACAAAUUGUGCCUACAGUAAUCAAACUCUGGCAUUCUGGGGUGAUAGAAAAAUGCUCUAGAGAAUGUUCAAUUCCUUGACAAGCUUGAUUGUCCCCGAGGUAACCUCUUGGCAAUCUCCUGUCAAAAUAAGAUAACACAACUAUUUCAGGCCCGAAUUGAGGGAUGGAUUCUGCGAAACUGAUGAACCUUGGACAGAGAAUUUCUCGACCGGCUGUACAGACUUGGAUGCUUGGGCUUCCUGGCAAUAUCGCCCUCAGUGCAUUGCUGCCAGGCAGUAGUGUCAGAAUGGCUCACAGAUGAGUCGUAUUCAAGUUUACUAUUAACUUACUAGAGUGUUUGUGUAGCCAAGGUUUGAAACGAAGCUGGUAUUGACAGAGCGAUGUCUAAAUGAACAGCUUGUCAAGAUGCUUAACUGACUGCUUCACAGCUAUACAGGAUAGCGUGUAUUAGGAAGGAACUUGAACUGCAAAUUGGAAUCGUUCAAGGUGAAUCUAAAUCCCACUCAACCAUAAUACACUUCAAUGCAUGCCAAAUGAAGGACUGCAACACUGACAAUUAAACCCAAGUGAUGUGUGAAUCUCACCUCAAAUAAUUGAUUCACAUUAUCAGCAGUCUUUGCUGACGUUUCGAUGAAGAACAUGCCGUUACUUUCAGCAUAGGCAAGGGCUUCCUGCAACGUCGACGAGAAAUGGAAAAAAUUGCAAAUCAGAAAUAUCCUCUUGAAUCACAAAACUGGAAACUAACUAGCUGGGAACACAGUGUAUACACUGCCAAACAAGCAACAGGCAAAGAAAACCCAACACUCUGAAGCAGUCGCGAAUGUUCGGCACGAAUGAACGCUUACUUCGCGAGAUACUUCACGUUCACUUUCGAGGUCAGCUUUGUUUCCAACCAACGCCAUUACGAUGUCAGGGUUACCAUGCUUUUGGAGCUCCUAUUGCCAAGGAUAAAAGGAAAAUCAGUGGUCUAUUCGCCAGGGACCAAGGCGAAGAACAUCAAACAUUCGUUGUCAUAAUCCAAUAAAAACGCGGUGACUAUUGAAACCCUUCUUCACUACAAACAUGCAAAAGUCUACAUAAAUAAUUGGAGGAUAGUUCUCACACAAGUCAGACCAUAUUCCACUACAACGAUGGUAAACAAUCAACGGCAAGAACUGGAAAGAUGGGUUUCUCGUGAAUCGGACCUUGACCCAGAACUGCGCUUUCAGGAAUGUUUCCGGAUUGGUAAUAUCGUAAACUACAACCGCCGCUGAUGCUCCCCUGUAAUAUAGAGGCGCUAA
rnacentral:lncRNA from 1 species